CCUCAGAUCUCAUCUCACUCA
rnacentral:siRNA from 1 species